UGAGGAAUUUUGCGCAAUGGGAGCAAUCCUGACGCAGCAACGCCGCGUGGGUGAUGAAGGCCUUCGGGUCGUAAAGCUCUUUCGGUUGGGAAGAAAUUGCCUGGGUUAAUACCUCAGGUAGAUGACGGUACCAGCAUAAGAAGCACCGGCUAACUACGUGCCAGCAGCCGCGGUAAUACGGAGGGUGCAAGCGUUGUUCGGAAUCACUGGGCGUAAAGGGCGCGUAGGCGGUUUGAUAAGUCAGAUGUGAAAGCCCACGGCUUAACUGUGGAAGUGCAUUUGAAACUGUCAGACUUGAGUAUCAGAGGGGAAAGUGGAAUUCCCGGUGUAGAGGUGAAAUUCGUAGAUAUCGGGAGGAAUACCGGUGGCGAAGGCGACUUUCUGGCUGAAUACUAACGCUGAGGCGCGAAAGCGUGGGGAGCAAACA
rnacentral:rRNA from 1 species